rnacentral:rRNA from 1 species
CCUACGUGAGGCUGCAGUGGGGAAUAUUGGACAAUGGGGGCAACCCUGAUCCAGCCAUGCCGCGUGUGUGAAGAAGGCCCUCGGGUUGUAAAGCACUUUCAGUGAGGAAGAACGCCUGGUGGUUAAUACCCAUCAGGAAAGACAUCACUCACAGAAGAAGCACCGGCUAACUCCGUGCCAGCAGCCGCGGUAAUACGGAGGGUGCGAGCGUUAAUCGGAAUUACUGGGCGUAAAGCGCGCGUAGGUGGCUUGAUAAGCCGGUUGUGAAAGCCCCGGGCUCAACCUGGGAACGGCAUCCGGAACUGUCAAGCUAGAGUGCAGGAGAGGAAGGUAGAAUUCCCGGUGUAGCGGUGAAAUGCGUAGAGAUCGGGAGGAAUACCAGUGGCGAAGGCGGCCUUCUGGACUGACACUGACACUGAGGUGCGAAAGCGUGGGUAGCAAACAGGAUUAGAUACCCGAGUAGUC